GGAAGGUGCGGAUGGAUCACCUCCUAA
rnacentral:rRNA from 1 species